rnacentral:lncRNA from 1 species
CGCGCGGGUCUGCGCAUCCCGCCCCCGGGUCGGGAAGGGGCGGAGCUGGGCGUCACCCGCCCCCGGCGGUCUCCUCCUCCCGGCCGCUCCCCCGAGCCGAGCCCGCCGCGGUCACAGCCACCCGCGGGAAGCUCGUGGCCGGGACCCCGAGGCGGGAGCGCGGGCUGGGCCGGGCUGGGCUACGCGCACGGGCUCGGCCGCCGCCCCUGCCGGGUCUCUUGCCUGCUGUGUACUGCUUUUACUGCCAGAAAUGUUCUCCUCACCUGGGAGCCAGUUGGCUGCCAACACUGAAUGUGUCCACUUGGUCCAUAACAGCAUUAAGAACAGAGCAGACAGCAAGUAAAUAAAUCGUAUUGACUAAUUGAUCAAGAUAGCUUUGCUAGUUGAUACGGUUUAGAUCUGUGUCUCCACCCAAAUCUCAUGUUCAGUUAUAAUCCCCAGUGUUGGAAGUGGGGCAUGGUGACUAGAUCAUGGGGGCAGUUUCUCAUGGCUUCACAUCAUCCCCAUUGAAGUUGUCAUCCUGAUGGUUCUCAUGAGAUCUGGUUGUCUAAAAGUAUGUGACACCUCCCCACUCCCUCUCUUACUCCUGUUCCAGCAUUGUGAAGUACUUGCUCCCCCUUUGCCUUCUGCCAUGAUUGUAACCUUCCUGAGGCCUCCCCAGAAAGUGGGCAGAUGCCAGCAUCAUGCUUCCUGUACAGCCUGCAGAACCGUGGCCAAUUAAACCUCUUUGCUUUGUAAAUUACCCAGUGUCCAGUAUUUCUUUAUAACAAUGAGAGAAUGGGCUAAUACACUAGUCAAGUUCAAGAAACUUUGGUUCUCCAUUUUUCCUAUC